rnacentral:rRNA from 1 species
GUAGGUGGCAAGCGUUGUCCGGAAUUAUUGGGCGUAAAGCGCGCGCAGGCGGUUCUCUAAGUCUGAUGUGAAAGCCCACGGCUCAACCGUGGAGGGUCAUUGGAAACUGGAGAACUUGAGUACAGAAGAGGAAAGCGGAAUUCCACGUGUAGCGGUGAAAUGCGUAGAGAUGUGGAGGAACACCAGUGGCGAAGGCGGCUCUCUGGUCUGUAACUGACGCUGAGGCGCGAAAGCGUGGGGGGAGCAAACAGGAUUAGAUACCCUGGUAGUCCACGCCGUAAACGAUGAGUGCUAAGUGUUAGGGGGUUUUCCGCCCCCCCCUUAGUGCUGCAGCUAACGCAUUAAGCACUCCGCCUGGGGAGUACGGCCGCAAGGCUG